rnacentral:rRNA from 1 species
UGGGCGUGGGCGUGGACUCUCUCUCUCUCUCUCUCUCUCUCUCUCUCUCUCUCUCUCUCUACCGCCGGCCACCGUACUCGUCCCUCCGCUCCACCUCGGACCGGCCGCGCUGCCGCGAGCAGUGGCCGCCGUCGUUUCCCUAGCCCACGCGUUAAGAUAUAUUGGAAGAAUGCAUGUGUGUACGAUACAUGUGCAUAUGAGUACACGAAGACACCGUAGUACCACAGCUAGCUACGUUGCGUCGGUGCGCUAGCACCUCCUCGACCGCCCCGUGCCCCGCGCCCAUGUGUGCACGCGGGCCUCGCGCCGCCUCGACCUCCUCACGGCGGCGGCCACCCUCCGGUCCCCGGAGGGCCAGUGGCAGAGGCAGACGCUGCAGAGGGACGCGCGUGUCUCCCUCGUCGAGCACCUCUGCCAGUUCGUUCAGAAGCUGCGGUUCGAGCUGUAUGACCACUUGUUGCGCCGCGUCCGAGAACGGUUCCGCCGUCACCUCACGUGUAGCCUCCUCAUGUGCGUGGAGUACAGCUGGUUGGAUCUCGGCACGAAGGUGGAGUCGUUCGAGUGCGUGGGGAACGAGGAGCCCCGGAGGUAGCGGCCUCCUCCAUCGUAGCAGUUGUAUAGGAGGUAACCCCCGUGCGAACCCAAGGGCCCGAUGCGUGAAAUGCCAUAGUGUUUUCCUCCCUAGUUGGUCGAGUGCGCCUCGGAACGAUGGCUCACCCGGGUCUUGUUUCAAGCUCACUUAACGCAACGGGGCCCGCACUGGUUCUCACCGUACAAUUUGUCACAGCGUGGGCUGUAAAAUCUCUUCCUCAACCGCUUCCAAGGCUACGCCGCCCAUCCGCUCGGUCUCCUGCACCGACGUCACCACAGUAAGGAGACGUACGGUCGCCGUAGGAAGCAGUGACCCGUCCAGUAGUGGCAGCUACCACCAGCUUGUUAAUCACGGAUCAAUUAAUUACCGUGGAGUGGCUAUUUUAGCACACGUACAACUAGUUAAAUAUUUCAUCGGCCACUCAUGAUGGAGGCAGGGCAAUCGAACUUUUUGCAAGAAUAUAAUAUUCUGUUUUUCUCCUCAAUCGUUCCUGGACUCACAACAGGUGAUCAUAUUAAUAAAACGAUGUAAAAACUAAACAAAAAUCAAAAAUAACAUAAAUAUUUCAUCUAAACGCAUAAAUUGAUCGGUUCGUUCGCACCGGCGUGGGUACUACGUACUAGAACCUACAACCGUAACGGCAAUAACACGGAACACAUGAAAACAACAUGUUCAAUAUUUCUACACAUGUAAAACCUUGGCUUGGCUAUAUCUCGUGGUAUAUCACCACUAUAAGUAGUGUAUCUCACUUC